CCAGAUUUAGUUGUAAUAAAUAUGUUAGGUGGUCACUACUAAUGUUUGUGUGUUUUGUGAAAACUCUAUGUCAUAACUAAAAGAAAUGAGUUGAUUGUACUAUUUAAGUGAAAUAUACAGUGCACUGAUCAUGUUAAGCAGAGACAACGAUAAAUGUUAUGUUUUUGCAAGGCAGAGGAGGGGUCUAAUAAAAAUUCUGCCCAUCAACCGUUCCUCCUGCUUCUCAGUCCACACAGAGACAUGAAUGACUCCAUGCAUCGUGCUGCUGUGACAAAUAGGCUACUACAUCAAAUGGUUCUUCGUCUUUUUUUUUAUAGGUUCUUCAUCUACAGUGGAUGUGGAAUAUGUGGAGUGGAGUUUAUGUGGAUGUGGAGUUUAAAUGUUGUUUGUUCAUGAUUUAUCAAUAAUAAAAGGCAUUCCUAUA